rnacentral:pre_miRNA from 1 species
CAUUCCAGUGAUGUAUUUACACGUCCAGCUCAGUUCUGUAAAUGCACCGUCUGGAAUGAG